rnacentral:rRNA from 1 species
AGACAGUUCGGUCCCUAUCUGCCGUGGGCGUUUGAGAUUUGAGAGGAGCUGCUCUCAGUACGAGAGGACCGGAGUGGACGGACCUCUGGUGUUCCGGUUGUCACGCCAGUGGCAUCGCCGGGUAGCUACGUCCGGACGGGAUAACCGCUGAAAGCAUCUAAGCGGGAAGCCCCCCUCGAGAUAAGAUCUCACCAAAUCUCCAAGAUUUCUUAAGGGCCCUCGUAGACUACGAGGUUGAUAGGCGGGAUGUGUAAGCGCUGCGAGGCGUUGAGCUAACCCGUACUAAUUGCCCGUGAGGCUUGACCAU